rnacentral:rRNA from 1 species
CGCGCGCCUAUACACACAAAAGCAAAAACGUCCGUUUAUACAAAUAUACGGCGUUUCCGUCUUUUGUUGGCGGGGGCGGGUGCGUGUGUGUGGAUAACGGCUCACAUAACGUGUCGCGAUGGAUGACUUGGCUUCCUAUUUCGUUGAAGAACGCAGUAAAGUGCGAUAAGUGGUAUCAAUUGCAGAAUCAUUCAAUUACCGAAUCUUUGAACGCAAACGGCGCAUGGGAGAAG